AUGCCAGCCCCAGCUGCAGCUUGCUCGCUUCUUCUGCUUCUCCUUCUGGUGGCGCCGGUGGCCGCCGGUGACUUCGUCAUCCAUGGUGUCCGUUGGUCGGCUUGGGCCAACAGCGGCCACUUGACGGAGGGCCUCGUCAUCCCGGCGCAGACGUUCAGCGCCUUCACCUUCGACCUCUCGGUCGGCCUGCAGACCCUCUCGGUCAUCAUGGACAUCUCCAGCGAGCUCGUCUGGAUGCAGUGCGGGCCGGGGCUCAGGCGCAAGCCCACCUUCCUGCCCGGGCUCAGGCCCUCCUUCGCCCCGAUCGCCCCCUGCCCAUCAUCCGUGCGCAACAACUCUGGCUCCUUUGGCCAGAUCCACUACGCCGACCGGACUUGCCAUCCCGGCGACCACGGCUGCGCAGCCCGCUGCGGGUACGUGGAGCACAUCUACGGCGCCGGCAACGCGUCCGGCUACCUCGCCACCGAAACGUUCGGUUUGGGGAACAGGGUCUUCAUCGGCGUGGUGUUCGGCUGCAGCGGCAACGUCACGCUGCGGGACGGCCUCGACGGCGUCUCCGGCUUCGUCGGAUUCAGCAGGGGCCCCCUCUCCUUCGUCUCGCAGCGGCAGAUCUCCAGGUUCUCCUACUUCUUCGUGCUCCCCGACGACCCCGACAACGGCAAGGCCUUCGUUAGCUUGAGCUGGGCAGUCGCAGACCACCCCAAAGCUAAGGGCAGCCACACGCCGCUGCUGGUGGCCAGGCCCAACCAGGACCCUCACUUGUACUACGUCAACCUCAUCGGCCUGCAGGUGGACGGGCAGCUCCUCACCGACAUCCCGGCGGGGACCUUCGACGUCCGGGCGAACGGCUCCGGCGGGGUGUUCCUCAGCACCACCCUGCCAUUCACCUACCUCGAGGAGGCCGCGUACAAGGUUCUGAGGCGGGAGCUCAUGAGCAGGAUCCGAUUGCAGGGCCUGGCUCCGUUGAACGCUACGUCCGGCCACAGCCUGUGCUUCCUCACGCAGCACUUCUCCAAGCUGAAGGUUCCCAAGCUGGCCCUGGUGUUCGACGGCGCCCACGCGACGAUGGAGCUCAAGGCGCAGAACUACUUCUUGCCCGUCCCUGACGGGCAGACGACGUGCCUGAGCAUACUGCCAUCGACCACCGGCGGGUCCGUCCUAGGCAGCCUGCUGCAGACCGGCAGGAAGAUGACCUACGACAUCCAUGGCAACGGCGGCGGCCGGCUGACGUUCGCGGGUGCUCCGGCGCCGGCAAAGGUGUCGCUGGCUACUCUUUUACUGGUGUGGGUGCUCCUCUUCUAG
rnacentral:rRNA from 1 species